rnacentral:rRNA from 1 species
CGUUACUCGGAAUCACUGGGCGUAAAGAGCAUGUAGGCGGAUUGAUAAGUUUGAAGUGAAAUCCUAUAGCUUAACUAUAGAACUGCUUGAAAACUGUUAAUCUAGAAUGUGGGAGAGGUAGAUGGAAUUUCUGGUGUAGGGGUAAAAUCCGUAGAGAUCAGAAGGAAUACCGAUUGCGAAGGCGAUCUACUGGAACAUUAUUGACGCUGAGAUGCGAAAGCGUGGGGAGCAAACAGGAUUAGAUACCCUGAUAGUCCACGCCCUAAACGAUGUACACUAGUUGUUGUGAGACUUGAUCUUGCAGUAAUGCAGUUAACACAUUAAGUGUACCGCCUGGGGAGUACGGUCGCAAGAUUAAAACUCAAAGGAAUAGACGGGGACCCGCACAAGCGGUGGAGCAUGUGGUUUAAUUCGACGAUACACGAAGAACCUUACCUGGACUUGACAUAGUAAGAACUUUCUAGAGAUAGAUUGGUGUCUGCUUGCAGAAACUUAUAUACAGGUGCUGCACGGCUGUCGUCAGCUCGUGUCGUGAGAUGUUGGGUUAAGUCCCGCAACGAGCGCAACCCUCGUGUUUAGUUGCUAACAGUUCGGCUGAGAACUCUAAACAGACUGCCUACGCAAGUAGGAGGAAGGUGAGGACGACGUCAAGUCAUCAUGGCCCUUACGUCCAGGGCUACACACGUGCUACAAUGGGAUAUACAAAGAGCGGCAAUACGGUGACGUGGAGCAAAUCUUAUAAAAUAUCUCCCAGUUCGGAUUGUAGUCUGCAACUCGACUACAUGAAGUUGGAAUCGCUAGUAAUCGUAGAUCAGCUAUGCUACGGUGAAUACGUUCCCGGGUCUUGUACUCACCGCCCGUCACACCAUGGGAGUCGAACUCAUUCGAAGCGGGGAUGCUAAAAUAGCUACCUUCCACAGUGGAUUUGGCGACUGGGGUGAAGUCGUAACAAGGUAGCCGUA